AUUUAGCUCCCUCUCCCUUCCUCCUGCUGCCGCGCCGCCCUCCCUUUCCCUUUUCUCCCGUAGCGGCGUCGACCAAAGGAGAAGGGGCUGUUGUCGCUGUUUCGGCCUCUUGCCGGCAUCCUUUCAGCCAUCUGAUGUCGGAUCCAGGUUUCUCACCCCCGAAAACCCCCGGAACAAGUCUCCCCCGCCAUUUUCCUCCAUCAGCAGCCUCAGAGGAGCUUCACCAUAGUAGCCCCUUUUCGGUGCCUUCCGGCAAGUUUCCGGCCGAAACUCUUAUGUUUUCAGACUCCCGGCAACUCGAGCUUCACGUAGGUGCUUCUGGAUUUGAAUUCCGACACCAUUGGCAGGACCGGCUUCCGGACCCCAGUGUUUUCCAGACGCGCAAAAUUUUAAGAUUUCGGCUCGGUAUAAUUUUAUCUGGACUUCAAAAAUUAUGUUGUAAUUUUAGAAAAUAUUGUUGCCAUUAAUUAUCAAUUAUGGAUAAUUCAAAAUUAAUUGGAUUUAAUUAAUUGUGAUUUGUGGUAUGUUGCAGAAUCGGGAAAGAUCAUGCAGUUUCAGUGGCUCGAAUUCCGUUAAUUAAUUGUAAAAUAUUUGAAGUGUUUCUAGCAGGUUUUGGACCCAUUAUACAGGGGUAAAUAUCUGUAAUUUAGGAGAGGUUCUGUCGAAUUUUUGACAGAAUUCUCGAGUCUGAAAGUCUAAUAUAGGAGUUCAGGCCUAGGGAAAUUUAAGAAUGUCUAUUAAUUGAGUAUUUUUGUGAAUAGAUAAUAUGUUCAUCCCGCCAGCUCCACCAGAGGUGUAGGAGCGGACUGCGGAGCACGACAGAACUAUGAGUUAAAGUCAUAUAAUCGUUGUACAUUGGUUAUGAUUUUGACUUUGGGAUGAGGUGAUAGUAGAACAUGUCACCUGAUGAGUUGCAUCAGGACCGCAUGCGCACCGGUAAUAAUCAGAGACAGGUGACAGUUAGAGUUCUUCGCCGUCCUGUAUUUUGAUAGCCCGACUUUUUUUUUUCAUCAAGCUUAUUGUAAAUAAUCUAUACUUUUAUAUUUUUAGUUCUUUUAUACUUUAGACCUUCCGCAGUAGUAUUUUUAAUUUGUUAUGAUUAUACUGGUCCAUAAUAGACGUGAAAUGUUAUUAAAGACUAGUUAGAUUUGUGUAUGGCAUAUCAGACAUGAUUAAUAUUAUAUUUCUCAUAUGUACUUUAUAGAAUAU